rnacentral:rRNA from 2 species
UACGUAGGGGGCAAGCGUUAUCCGGAAUUACUGGGUGUAAAGGGUGAGUAGGCGGCAUGGUAAGCCAGAUGUGAAAGCCUUGGGCUUAACCCGAGGAUUGCAUUUGGAACUAUCAAGCUAGAGUACAGGAGAGGAAAGCGGAAUUCCUAGUGUAGCGGUGAAAUGCGUAGAUAUAUGGAAGAACACCAGUGGCGAAAGCGGCUCUCUGGUCUGUAACUGACGCUGAGGUUCGAAAGCGUGGGUAGCAAACAGG